GAACGCACAUUGCGCCCAUUGGUAUUCCUUUGGGCAUGUCUGUUUGAGCGUCAUUACAACACCUCAGCACACGCUGGUUUUGAGCUGUGAGGGUUCAGAAAUGAACCCUUCCGCUUUAAAGUUGUAAGCUCUGCUGACUUCCAGCUUGACCGGAAACAUAGUAAAUUUCUUGCUUGUUUAUAGGAAAAAGUUGAGAAGUUUGGCCUGAAAAACACCUUCAAUUUCUAAGGUUUGACCUCAGAUCAGACAAGGAUACCCGCUGAACUUAAG
rnacentral:misc_RNA from 1 species